CGCCAAGCCAUGGAUAUGCAGUUACAAGAUUUUUGAAUAAUUUCAGGAAAAAUAGUCAACCAGUCAUCCAAAUUAAAAUCCUUACAAUCACCAAAAACAUUAUUCACCUCAUCCUUCAGUUGUUUAAAAGAAGCCCAAAGUAGUCGCAACUUGGGACCCUCAGAUACAGCAUACAAACUUAAGGGUUGCUUAGCACUCUGCUGGUCAAUUUCAAGGAGUCUGUUUCCCAGAUUGCUUUUGUGUUCUAUAGCAUGAAGAGAAUCCAAGAGUUUUGUCUUUACUGCAUCC
rnacentral:misc_RNA from 1 species